rnacentral:rRNA from 1 species
GCUGGCGGCAGGCCUAACACAUGCAAGUCGAGCGGUAACAUUUCUAGCUUGCUAGAAGAUGACGAGCGGCGGACGGGUGAGUAAUGCUUGGGAACAUGCCUUGAGGUGGGGGACAACAGUUGGAAACGACUGCUAAUACCGCAUAAUGUCUACGGACCAAAGGGGGCUUUUAGCUCCCGCCUUUAGAUUGGCCCAAGUGGGAUUAGUUAGUUGGUGAGGUAAUGGCUCACCAAGGCAACGAUCCCUAGCUGGUUUGAGAGGAUGAUCAGCCACACUGGGACUGAGACACGGCCCAGACUCCUACGGGAGGCAGCAGUGGGGAAUAUUGCACAAUGGGCGAAAGCCUGAUGCAGCCAUGCCGCGUGUGUGAAGAAGGCCUUCGGGUUGUAAAGCACUUUCAGUCAGGAGGAAAGGUUAGUAGUUAAUACCUGCUAUCUGUGACGUUACUGACAGAAGAAGCACCGGCUAACUCCGUGCCAUCAGCCGCGGU